AUUGAACGCUGGCGGCAUGCUUUACACAUGCAAGUCGAACGGCAGCACGGACUUCGGUCUGGUGGCGAGUGGCGAACGGGUGAGUAAUACAUCGGAACGUACCGCGUAGUGGGGGACAACAAGUCGAAAGAUUUGCUAAUACCGCAUACACUCUGAGGAGAAAAGCAGGGGACCUUCGGGCCUUGUGCUAUGCGAGCGGCCGAUGGCUGAUUAGCUAGUUGGUGGGGUAAAGGCCUACCAAGGCAACGAUCAGUAGCGGGUCUUAGAGGACGAUCCGCCACACUGGAACUGAGACACGGUCCAGACUCCUACGGGAGGCAGCAGUGGGGAAUCUUGGACAAUGGGCGCAAGCCUGAUCCAGCAAUGCCGCGUGCGUGAAGAAGGCCUUCGGGUUGUAAAGCGCUUUUGUCAGGGAGCAAAGACUGAUGGCUAAUAUCCAUCGAAGUUGAGAGUACCUGAAGAAUAAGGACCGGCUAACUACGUGCCAGCAGCCGCCGUAACAC
rnacentral:rRNA from 1 species